GGUUAAGCGACUAAGCGUACACGGUGGAUGCCCUGGCAGUCAGAGGCGAUGAAGGACGUGCUAAUCUGCGAUAAGCGCCGGUAAGGUGAUAUGAACCGUUAUAACCGGCGAUUUCCGAAUGGGGAAACCCAGUGUGAUUCGUCACACUAUCAUUAACUGAAUCCAUAGGUUAAUGAGGCGAACCGGGGGAACUGAAACAUCUAAGUACCCCGAGGAAAAGAAAUCAACCGAGAUUCCCCCAGUAGCGGCGAGCGAACGGGGAGGAGCCCAGAGCCUGAAUCAGCAUGUGUGUUAGUGGAAGCGUCUGGAAAGGCGCGCGAUACAGGGUGACAGCCCCGUACACAAAAGCGCAUGUGCUGUGAGCUCGAUGAGUAGGGCGGGACACGUGGUAUCCUGUCUGAAUAUGGGGGGACCAUCCUCCAAGGCUAAAUACUCCUGACUGACCGAUAGUGAACCAGUACCGUGAGGGAAAGGCGAAAAGAACCCCGGCGAGGGGAGUGAAAAAGAACCUGAAACCGUGUACGUACAAGCAGUGGGAGCACCCUUCGGGGUGUGACUGCGUACCUUUUGUAUAAUGGGUCAGCGACUUAUAUUCUGUAGCAAGGUUAACCGUAUAGGGGAGCCGGAGGGAAACCGAGUCUUAACCGGGCGUUAAGUUGCAGGGUAUAGACCCGAAACCCGGUGAUCUAGCCAUGGGCAGGUUGAAGGUUGGGUAACACUAACUGGAGGACCGAACCGACUAAUGUUGAAAAAUUAGCGGAUGACCUGUGGCUGGGGGUGAAAGGCCAAUCAAACCGGGAGAUAGCUGGUUCUCCCCGAAAGCUAUUUAGGUAGCGCCUCGUGAAUUCAUCUCCGGGGUAGAGCACUGUUUCGGCUAGGGGGCCAUCCCGGCUUACCAACCCGAUGCAAACUGCGAAUACCGGAGAAUGUUAUCACGGGAGACACACGGCGGGUGCUAACGUCCGUCGUGAAGAGGGAAACAACCCAGACCGCCAGCUAAGGUCCCAAAGUCAUGGUUAAGUGGGAAACGAUGUGGGAAGGCCCAGACAGCCAGGAUGUUGGCUUAGAAGCAGCCAUCAUUUAAAGAAAGCGUAAUAGCUCACUGGUCGAGUCGGCCUGCGCGGAAGAUGUAACGGGGCUAAACCAUGCACCGAAGCUGCGGCAGCGAACGUAUCACCCAAGACAACUUUACGGAGUUGACGAUUGACGGAGCGAAGCGACGUCAAAGCGUUCAUUAAAGUCGAGUUGGCUUAGGGAUACGUUCGUUGGGUAGGGGAGCGUUCUGUAAGCCUGUGAAGGUGUGUCGUGAGGCAUGCUGGAGGUAUCAGAAGUGCGAAUGCUGACAUAAGUAACGAUAAAGCGGGUGAAAAGCCCGCUCGCCGGAAGACCAAGGGUUCCUGUCCAACGUUAAUCGGGGCAGGGUGAGUCGACCCCUAAGGCGAGGCCGAAAGGCGUAGUCGAUGGGAAACGGGUUAAUAUUCCCGUACUUGGUGUUACUGCGAAGGGGGGACGGAGAAGGCUAUGUUGGCCGGGCGACGGUUGUCCCGGUUUAAGCGUGUAGGUGUGUGUUCCAGGUAAAUCCGGUUCACUUUAACACUGAGGCGUGACGACGAGGCACUACGGUGCUGAAGCAACAAAUGCCCUGCUUCCAGGAAAAGCCUCUAAGCAUCAGGUAACAUCAAAUCGUACCCCAAACCGACACAGGUGGUCAGGUAGAGAAUACCAAGGCGCUUGAGAGAACUCGGGUGAAGGAACUAGGCAAAAUGGUGCCGUAACUUCGGGAGAAGGCACGCUGACACGUAGGUGAAGUGAUUUACUCAUGGAGCUGAAGUCAGUCGAAGAUACCAGCUGGCUGCAACUGUUUAUUAAAAACACAGCACUGUGCAAACACGAAAGUGGACGUAUACGGUGUGACGCCUGCCCGGUGCCGGAAGGUUAAUUGAUGGGGUCAGCGCAAGCGAAGCUCCUGAUCGAAGCCCCGGUAAACGGCGGCCGUAACUAUAACGGUCCUAAGGUAGCGAAAUUCCUUGUCGGGUAAGUUCCGACCUGCACGAAUGGCGUAAUGAUGGCCAGGCUGUCUCCACCCGAGACUCAGUGAAAUUGAACUCGCUGUGAAGAUGCAGUGUACCCGCGGCAAGACGGAAAGACCCCGUGAACCUUUACUAUAGCUUGACACUGAACAUUGAGCCUUGAUGUGUAGGAUAGGUGGGAGGCUUUGAAGUGUGGACGCCAGUCUGCAUGGAGCCGACCUUGAAAUACCACCCUUUAAUGUUUGAUGUUCUAACGUGGACCCGUAAUCCGGGUUGCGGACAGUGUCUGGUGGGUAGUUUGACUGGGGCGGUCUCCUCCUAAAGAGUAACGGAGGAGCACGAAGGUUGGCUAAUCCUGGUCGGACAUCAGGAGGUUAGUGCAAUGGCAUAAGCCAGCUUGACUGCGAGCGUGACGGCGCGAGCAGGUGCGAAAGCAGGUCAUAGUGAUCCGGUGGUUCUGAAUGGAAGGGCCAUCGCUCAACGGAUAAAAGGUACUCCGGGGAUAACAGGCUGAUACCGCCCAAGAGUUCAUAUCGACGGCGGUGUUUGGCACCUCGAUGUCGGCUCAUCACAUCCUGGGGCUGAAGUAGGUCCCAAGGGUAUGGCUGUUCGCCAUUUAAAGUGGUACGCGAGCUGGGUUUAGAACGUCGUGAGACAGUUCGGUCCCUAUCUGCCGUGGGCGCUGGAGAACUGAGGGGGCUGCUCCUAGUACGAGAGGACCGGAGUGGACGCAUCACUGGUGUUCGGGUUGUCAUGCCAAUGGCACUGCCCGGUAGCUAAAUGCGGAAGAGAUAAGUGCUGAAAGCAUCUAAGCACGAAACUUGCCCCGAGAUGAGUUCUCCCUGAGACUUAGAGUCUCCUGAAGGAACGUUGAAGACGACGACGUUGAUAGGCCGGGUGUGUAAGCGCAGCGAUGCGUUGAGCUAACCGGUACUAAUGAACCGUGAGGCUUAACCUU
rnacentral:rRNA from 1 species